rnacentral:rRNA from 1 species
AUGAACGCUGGCGGCGUGCCUAACACAUGCAAGUCGAACGGAGCCAGAGUGCUUGCAUUCUGGUUGAGUGGCGAACGGGUGAGUAACACGUCGGCGACCUAUCCUGAAGAGGGGGAUAACGGCUGGAAACGGCUGCUAAUACCCCAUAAGCUGAGCGAGUCAGAUUGUUCAGCAAAGGCGCAAGCCGCUUCAGGCGGGGCCGGCGGCCUAUCAGGUAGUUGGUGAGGUAACGGCUCACCAAGCCGAAGACGGGUAGAGGACGUGAGAGCGUGGUCCUCCACACGGGCACUGAGACACGGGCCCGACUCCUACGGGAGGCAGCAGUGAGGGAUCUUGCGCAAUGGGCGAAAGCCUGACGCAGCGACGCCGCGUGGGCGAAGAAGGCCUUCGGGUUGUAAAGCCCUUUUCCACCUGACGAGGCAGGACGGUAGGGUGGGAAUAAGUCACGGCUAACUACGU